AUUGAACGCUGGCGGCAGGCCUAACACAUGCAAGUCGAACGGUAACAGGAAGCAGCUUGCUGCUUCGCUGACGAGUGGCGGACGGGUGAGUAAUGUCUGGGAAACUGCCUGAUGGAGGGGGAUAACUACUGGAAACGGUAGCUAAUACCGCAUAACGUCGCAAGACCAAAGAGGGGGACCUUCGGGCCUCUUGCCAUCGGAUGUGCCCAGAUGGGAUUAGCUAGUAGGUGGGGUAACGGCUCACCUAGGCGACGAUCCCUAGCUGGUCUGAGGGGAUGACCAGCCACACUGGAAAUGAGACACGGUCCAGACUCCUACGGGAGGCAGCAGUGGGGAAUAUUGCACAAUGGGCGCAAGCCUGAUGCAGCCAUGCCGCGUGUAUGAAGAAGGCCUUCGGGUUGUAAAGUACUUUCAGCGGGGAGGAAGGCGAUAAGGUUAAUAACCUUGUCGAUUGACGUUACCCGCAGAAGAAGCACCGGCUAACUCCGUGCCAGCCGCCGCGGUAA
rnacentral:rRNA from 1 species